rnacentral:rRNA from 1 species
AAAAACAUGUCCUUUUGUUUAUAAUUUAAGGUCUAACCUGCCCACUGAUUUAAUAUUUAAGGGCCGCAGUAUACUGACUGUGCAAAGGUAGCAUAAUCAUUUGUCUUUUAAUUGAAGGCUGGAAUGAAUGGUUGAAUGAAGUAUUAACUGUCUCAUUUUAAUAAUUUAAUAACUUAGCUUUUUAAUUAAAAGGUUAAAAUUUAUUUAAAAGACGAGAAGACCCUAUAGAUUUUUAUAUUUUAAAUUUAUAGUAUUGAUAGGUAUAUUAAUAUAUUAUUAUUAUUUAAAUUAUUUGAUUGGGGUGAUUUAAAAAUUUAAUUAACUUUUUAUGUAUUAAAUCAUUAAUUUAUGAAUUUAUGAUCCAAUUUUAUUGAUUAUAAGAUUAAAUUACCUUAGGGAUAACAGCGUAAUUUUUUUGGAGAGUUCUUAUCGAUAAAAAAGAUUGCGACCUCGAUGUUGAAUUAAAGGUUAUAUUUAAAUGAAGUAGUUUAAAAUUUAGGUCUGUUCGACCUUUAAAUCUUUACAUGAUCUGA